rnacentral:rRNA from 1 species
UACGUAGGUGGCAAGCGUUGUUCGGAAUUAUUGGGCGUAAAGGGCGCGUAGGCGGUUCGUUAAGUCAGUUGUGAAAGCCCGGAGCUCAACUCCGGAGAGUCGACUGAUACUGGCGGGCUAGAGUACGGGAGAGGAAAGUGGAAUUCCUGGUGUAGCGGUGAAAUGCGCAGAUAUCGGGAGGAACACCAAUGGCGAAGGCAGCUCACUGGGACGGCACUGACGCUGAGACGCGAAAGCGUGGGGAGCAAACAGG